AUGUCGGUGGUGCAGUGGUUAGCUUGCGUUCUCGGAGAGGGUGAGACACGAGUUCGAAUCCCGUCUGACGUU